rnacentral:tRNA from 1 species
GGGCAGUUAGCUCAGUUGGUAGAGCAUCUCGUUUACACCGAGAGGGUCACAGGUCCGAGUCCUGUACUGCCCACCU